GGGAUAAAUCGAUACCAUCAAGGUAUUACUCCAAUCAGGGGCCGAAUCACGGCUCUCGUGAUCGAGUAAUAUUUUUCGAAAUUUUCUGUUUUGGCAUCACCGCAUUCGUGAUCGAGUAAAAUUUAUCGAAAUUUGGCAUCACCCCAUUCGAUAUCGAGCAGACGUUCGAGUAGAAUUAUUCAAAACACCAUUCGACAGUAAAUUUUGCAUCGAGAAGUGGAAAAUUAAAAUAAAACAACAAAAUGACAAACAUAAACAAAAUCAACAAAAAAAAAGUAUUAUGGCGGAAUAUAUGCAGGAGCACCCGGAUUUGGCCAGAAAUAUUCUGCCAAAUUGCGUUCAAAGAAGAACCGUUGCUCAAAGAUUGUGGGAGCAACUUUCCUUAAAAUUAAAUUCUGCUGGUCCGCCUAUAAAAGAACUUGAAAUGUGGCGUAAAGUAUUUGCAGACCAAAGGCAGAACGUUAAAAAGAAGCUGUCUUUUAAUAAAGCUUCUAAGCAAAAGACCGGAGGUGGGCCUUACCAAGAAAAGCUUUUGACGGCGUCCGAGGAGCUGCUGCUGCAAGCUACUGCAAUGGACGUUUCAGUGGAGUACGUGCUGAAAACUUUCACUUCCCAAAAGCGAUAACGUAGCAGCUAAUUGCAAGACGGAGGGUACUGAUGUGGACAUAUGCCCCUCAAACUCAAGCUCCGAAAGCACGUACUCGAAUGCAGGUUUUGACAGUCGGAAACGUUUUUUGAACCUGCAAAUAAAGAACUUUAACGUAUGCUGCUGCUGGUAAACUUAAGGGAUUGCUUUUGUCACGUAAUCCUCUCCGUAUCUGCACUUGACUGACUACAUUAUCAGAAUCAGGCGAGCUCGAAUAAAAAAAUACUGAAAUAUUCAUUUUAUAAUAACUGAUAUGAAUAUUUUAUUUCUUGUUUACGUCUGAAAAAUGGUUAAAGAUGAUACAUUUACUAAUUGGCAACCGAUUAAUAAUCGAAGAAAUUUCGCUAGCUUACGAAUCGAGUGCCAUGAUUUGCCUAUUCGAUUCGAAUCGAAAUUUUACUCUCCUCGACCGGUCACUCGUUCACGAGAGCCGUGAUUCGGUCCCAGUACUUGUACG